AGUGAACGCUGGCGGUAGGCCUAACACAUGCAAGUCGAACGGCAGCACAGUAAGAGCUUGCUCUUACGGGUGGCGAGUGGCGGACGGGUGAGGAAUACAUCGGAAUCUACUUUUUCGUGGGGGAUAACGUAGGGAAACUUACGCUAAUACCGCAUACGACCUACGGGUGAAAGCAGGGGAUCUUCGGACCUUGCGCGAUUGAAUGAGCCGAUGUCGGAUUAGCUGGUUGGCGGGGUAAAGGCCCACCAAGGCGACGAUCCGUAGCUGGUCUGAGAGGAUGAUCAGCCACACUGGAACUGAGACACGGUCCAGACUCCUACGGGAGGCAGCAGUGGGGAAUAUUGGACAAUGGGCGCAAGCCUGAUCCAGCCAUACCGCGUGGGUGAAGAAGGCCUUCGGGUUGUAAAGCCCUUUUGUUGGGAAAGAAAAGCAGCAGGUUAAUACCCCGCUGUCCUGACGGUACCCAAAGAAUAAGCAGCGGCUAACUUCGUG
rnacentral:rRNA from 1 species